rnacentral:rRNA from 1 species
AUUGAACGCUGGCGGCAGGCCUAACACAUGCAAGUCGAACGAGUGGCGGACGGAUUGGUAAUGCUUGGGAAACUGGCUGAGGGAUGGGGAUAACAAAGGGAAACUAGAACUAAUAACGCCUUGCGUAGGCUGAGCCCACGUUGGCUAAGGUAGUUGGUGGGGUAAAGGCACACCAAGCCGACGAUCUCUAGCUGGUCUGAGAGGAUGCCCAGCCACACUGGGACUGAGACACGGCCCAGACUCCUACGGGAGGCAGCAGUGGGGAAUAUUGCGCAAUGGGGGAAACCUGACGCAGCCAUGCCGCGUGAAUGAAGAAGGCCUUCGGGUUGUAAAGUUCUUUCGGUAGAGAGGCGGUAACUACAGAAUAAGCACCGGCUAACUCCGUGCCAGCCGCCGCGGUAAUAC